AGUUCGGUACAAAGAAUAAUAACUAGAAAAUGCAUUUCCUGAAGGAAAUACCAGUGCAUGAAAUGCAAAAGUUAAGAAAGGAAGAAGAAAAGAAAGAAGAGUGAAAGAAGGAAAGAAGAAAGGAAAGAAGAGUAAAAGGAAAGAAGAGUGGAAGAAGGAAAGAAUAAAGGCAAGAAGAGUGAAGAAAGGAAAGAAGAAAAGAAAGAAGAGUAAAAGAAGAAAAGAAGAAAGCAAAGAAGAGUGAAGAAAAGAAAGAAGAGUGGAAGAAGAAAAGAAGAGUUGAAGAAGGAAGGAAGAGUGGAAGAAGGAAAGAAGAAAAGAAUGAAGAAAUUAAAGAAGAGUGAAGCUAGGAAAGAAGAGUGGAAGAAGGAAAGAAGAAAAGAAAGAAGGGAAAGAAGAAAGGAAAGAAGAGUGGAAGAAGGAAAGAAGAAGUGAAGAAAGGAAAGAAGAGUGAAAGAAGGAAAGAAGUGGAAGAAGGAAAGAAAAAAGAAAGAAGAGUGGAAGAAGGAAAGAAGAAAGGAAAGAAGAGUGAAAGAAGGAAAGAAGAAAGGAAAGAAGAGUGGAAGAAAGGAAAGAAGAAAGGAAAGAAGAGUGAAGAAAGGAAAGAAGAGUGAAAGAAGGAAAGAAGUGGAAGAAGGAAAGAAAAAAGAAAGAAGAGUGGAAGAAGGAAAGAAGAGUGGAAGAAGGAAAGAAGAAGAGUGGAAGAAGGAAAGAAUAAUAUUCCUAGUUAUACAGUUGAAUUGAGAGGGAC
ensembl:lncRNA